AUUCGUUAUAACAUCACCUAAUCGGAUCAGAUUGCUGGAUGCUUGCAGCAAGGGCUGUUUCAAUCUGAGCUUCGGCAUGUCCCAGGGGUGCUGACCCUGGAACCUUCUCCUCUUUGCCAGGGAGCCCUGAGCAGCAUGGGACUGCCUCUCUGCGGACUGCAUAUGUGAUGGUGUCAAUGUCCGCCUGGGAGAGACAGAGACAUUAAGGUUUCCCAGAGGAAGAGCAGGAACCUCGAACAGCUCACACCUGAAUAUUUAGCUCUCCCCUGGCACAGCAUCUCAUACCCCAUCGGGGGAGCAGGCGUAUUGCAGCCGUUUGUUGAGCCCACACUUAAUUAAAAGGUCCGCCAAGUGAUGUUGUGUGUGCGCACACACCUUAAAAACGAGCUGCCUUUGGACAGGCAAAAUAAUAAUAACAAGCCAGCGGUGCAAAGGCCCACCAAUCUUACCCGCUGGGGAGGUUCGGAGAGGCGUAAAGCACUGUUCUUAUAUGGUAACCGUACCCAUAGUCUUUCAUCAACUUAAUUCCCUCAAAACAAGACAACAAGACAGCAC
ensembl:lncRNA